rnacentral:rRNA from 1 species
AACGAACGCUGGCGGCAGGCUUAACACAUGCAAGUCGAGCGCCCCGCAAGGGGAGCGGCAGACGGGUGAGUAACACGUGGGGAUCUGCCCGAUGGUACGGAAUAAUUCCGGGAAACUGGGACUAAUACCGUAUGUGCCCGCAAGGGGAAAGAUUUAUCGCCAUCGGAUGAACCCGCGUCAGAUUAGCUAGUUGGUGUGGUAAAGGCGCACCAAGGCGACGAUCUGUAGCUGGUCUGACAGGAUGAUCAGCCACACUGGGACUGAGACACGGCCCAGACUCCUACGGGGGGCAGCAGUGGGGAAUAUUGGACAAUGGGCGGAAGCCUGAUCCAGCCAUGCCGCGUGAGUGAUGAAGGCCUUAGGGUUGUAAAGCUCUUUCGCCGACGAAGAUAAUGACGGUAGUCGGAGAAGAAGCCCCGGCUAACUUCGUGCCAGCCGCCGCGGUAAUAC